rnacentral:rRNA from 1 species
ACACGCUACAAUGGCCAACACAAUAGGUUGCUAAGCCGCGAGGUGGAGCCAAUCCUACAAAGUUGGUCUCAGUUCAGAUUGCAGGCUGCAACCCGCCUGCAUGAAGAUGGAGUUGCUAGUAACCGCAGGUCAGCUAUACUGCGGUGAAUACGUUCCCGGGGCUU